UGCAUAGCCGACCUGAGAGGGUGAUCGGCCACACUGGAACUGAGACACGGUCCAGACUCCUACGGGAGGCAGCAGUAGGGAAUCUUCCGCAAUGGGCGAAAGCCUGACGGAGCAACGCCGCGUGAGUGAUGAAGGUCUUCGGAUCGUAAAACUCUGUUAUUAGGGAAGAACAUAUGUGUAAGUAACUGUGCACAUCUUGACGGUACCUAAUCAGAAAGCCACGGCUAACUACGUGCCAGCAGCCGCGGUAAUACGUAGGUGGCAAGCGUUAUCCGGAAUUAUUGGGCGUAAAGCGCGCGUAGGCGGUUUUUUAAGUCUGAUGUGAAAGCCCCCCGCUCCAACCGGGGGAGGGUCAUGGAAACUGGGAGACUUGAGUGCAGAAGAGAAGAGUGGAAUUCCAUGUGUAGCGGUGAAAUGCGUAGAUAUAUGGAGGAACACCAGUGGCGAAGGCGGCUCUCUGGUCUGUAACUGACGCUGAGGCUCGAAAGCGUGGGGAGCAAACAGGAUUAGAUACCCUGGUAGUCCACGCCGUAAACGAUGAGUGCUAAGUGUUGGAGGGUUUCCGCCCUUCAGUGCUGCAGCAAACGCAUUAAGCACUCCGCCUGGGGAGUACGACCGCAAGGUUGAAACUCAAAGGAAUUGACGGGGGCCCGCACAAGCGGUGGAGCAUGUGGUUUAAUUCGAAGCAACGCGAAGAACCUUACCAGGUCUUGACAUCCUUUGACCACUCUAGAGAUAGAGCUUUCCCUUCGGGGACAAAGUGACAGGUGGUGCAUGGUUGUCGUCAGCUCGUGUCGUGAGAUGUUGGGUUAAGUCCCGCAACGAGCGCAACCCUUAUUGUUAGUUGCCAUCAUUUAGUUGGGCACUCUAAGUUGACUGCCGGUGACAAACCGGAGGAAGGUGGGGAUGACGUCAAAUCAUCAUGCCCCUUAUGAUUUGGGCUACACACGUGCUACAAUGGACAAUACAAAGGGCAGCGAAACCGCGAGGUCAAGCAAAUCCCAUAAAGUUGUUCUCAGUUCGGAUUGUAGUCUGCAACUCGACUACAUGAAGCUGGAAUCGCUAGUAAUCGUAGAUCAGCAUGCUACGGUGAAUACGUUCCCGGGUCUUGUACACACCGCCCGUCACACCACGAGAGUUUGUAACACCCGAAGCCGGUGGAGUAACCUUUUAGGAGCUAGCCGUCGAAGGUGGGACAAAUGAUUGGGGUGAAGUCGUAAAAGG
rnacentral:rRNA from 1 species